rnacentral:rRNA from 1 species
UACGGAGGGGGCUAGCGUUGUUCGGAAUUACUGGGCGUAAAGCGCGCGUAGGCGGAUUGGAAAGUUGGGGGUGAAAUCCCGGGGCUCAACUUCGGAACUGCCUUCAAAACUGCCAGUCUUGAGUUCGAGAGAGGUGAGUGGAAUUCCGAGUGUAGAGGUGAAAUUCGUAGAUAUUCGGAGGAACACCAGUGGCGAAGGCGGCUCACUGGCUCGGUACUGACGCUGAGGUGCGAAAGCGUGGAGAGCAAACAGG